rnacentral:rRNA from 1 species
ACAGGUGCUGCAUGGCUGUCGUCAGCUCGUGUCGUGAGAUGUUGGGUUAAGUCCCGCAACGAGCGCAACCCUUGUCAUUAGUUGCUACAUUCAGUUGGGCACUCUAAUGAGACUGCCGGUGACAAACCGGAGGAAGUGGGGAUGACGUCAAGUCCUCAUGGCCCUUAUAGGUGGGGCUACACACGUCAUACAAUGGAUGGUACAAAGGGUCGCCAACCCGCGAGGGGGAGCCAAUCCCAUAAAGCCAUUCGUAGUCCGGAUCGCAGUCUGCAACUCGACUGCGUGAAGUCGGAAUCGCUAGUAAUCGUGGAUCAGAAUGUCACGGUGAAUACGUUCCCGGGUCUU